UCCCCGCCGAGGGGGGCGGUGCCUCGCGGCUGCGGCGAAGAUGGCGGCCGCGGCGGACCUCAGCGGCGGGCUGGAGCCGGUGGUGGUGGCGCUGUGGCCGCCCGCCGCGGCCCCGCCGGCCUUCCAGUAUAGCCCAGACAAUGUGGCUGGAGCGGACGGAGACAUUGACCCUACGGAAAUCACCUUUCCAGGAUGUUCUUGCCUUACCAGCUCCUGUGUGGUUCAUGCGUGCUCAUGUCUUUGCAAUGGUGAAAAUUACAACAAUUUGUGCAUCAAGCCUACGGACGAAGAAGAGUACGCCAGGCCUAUUUUUGAAUGCAACGCCAUGUGCCAGUGUGGUGAAGCGUGCCAGAACAGGGUUGUGCAGAGGGGCUUGCAGUUCAGGCUUGAAGUAUUCAAGACUGUGAAGAAAGGGUGGGGUCUCCGCACUCUGGAAUUCAUAGCUAAAGGAAGAUUUGUUUGUGAAUAUGCUGGUGAAGUUUUAGGCUUUAAUGAGGCACGUAGAAGAACUCGGGCCCAGACGUCCAAGGAUUCAAACUAUAUUAUAGCAGUGAGGGAGCACCUUCAUAAUGGUCAGAUAAUGGAGACUUUCGUUGACCCUACGUACAUUGGUAACGUAGGCAGAUUCCUGAAUCAUUCCUGCGAACCAAAUUUAUUUAUGGUGCCAGUCCGAGUUGACUCAAUGGUGCCUAAACUGGCACUUUUUGCAGCCACUGAUAUUUCUGCUGGAGAAGAACUUUCUUAUGAUUAUUCUGGAAGAUUCCAUAAUUUACCAGUAACUAACCGAGAGCAAAAAACUUCAGAGGAAGGUAACAUAUUGAAAAAGCCCUGCUACUGUGGUUCCCGCACGUGUACUUCCUUCUUGCCCUGGGACAGCUCCCUCUUUCCCCCACCAGACACUUGUUCAGAGAGCUCUUCAUAAUUUUUCCAUGCCUAAGCAUACAUUAAUGAGCACCAUUUUCCUUAGUAGUUAAAUAGCAGUUAACUAAAACCCCUCUUCUAUAGAUGCAUUCAAGAGCUAUACUACAUUUUUUGAGAAGAGGGAAAAUGAUUCAACUCAACUAUUAACCACAGCCCAGAUGAUUAGUGAGGAUACCAGUUUUGAAAAUUAACAUGUACGUUCUAGUUUCACACACUCGCCUGCUAGGUUUCUUCAACUUUGGUUACUUUUGCAUCUGACAAUGUACUCAAGAAGCAGAAAAUUCAACCUUUACACCGCAAAAGGGUUAAUAUUUGCACAGCAUAGUUGAAAUGUACCCCAGAGCCAAACGGUAUUAAGCAGGGAGCUGUCCUUUCCCAGCAGACAGAGAAGGUUACUGCAUCUUCAUCGUUCUUGUACAGCGCUAACAUACUCACUCUACCUACCAGAGUAAGUAUCUCAGUCUCCUUACGCCAGGAGGCAGAGAAGAAUAGAUGCUGUAUUCAAAAUAUACACUGAGCUAACAGUUUCUUAAUAAGAAUUAACCACUAGUCUGUUUUUCAUAUUUCCUAAAAUAAAAGCUAUAGUUUCAAGAUAAAUACAUAAGAUAGCUUGCCUGAUGAUGUACUAAGUUCUAUAAUUACAAGUUACAUCACUUCCUUUCUGAAAAGAUCAAAUUAAGGAAGCUUCAAACAGGCUUGUUUAGAAUUUCCCCCAACUUUGAUGAGCAAGACACAGAUAAAUGGCAAUGCUGUUUUUUAUAAUAUUGCCACACGGUGUUCCAUUAGUGGCAAAAGCCCUUGAUUUAUUUGCUUUGUACAGUUUGAUCUUUAACUGUAUUCAUAGCCUUUGACAAAAUAUAUACAUACAAGCUACUGUAUCUGCAGAGGAAAAAUAAAUCAGCUGUUCUAUAAGCAAGCUAGCAACAUUUAAAUUUUCUUUUUAGACAACUCUUUGAUUUGGAACUUAAAGAUUAACUUGAUACUGAUUAGAGAUAAUGGAAGGUUGGCUGCUCUUAUUUUGCUAAACUGUCUUUCCCUUUACUUCCUUGAUAGACUUCAAUGUUGGCUAUUCUUCCUUUAAUAAAUAUAUCUUCCUGUUUCUGUUA